rnacentral:rRNA from 1 species
CGUAGGGUGCGAGCGUUAAUCGGAAUUACUGGGCGUAAAGUGUGCGCAGGCGGCGUUGCAAGUCGAGUGUGAAAUCCCCGAGCUUAACUUGGGAAUUGCGCUCGAAACUACGAUGCUCGAGUGUGGCAGAGGAAGGUGGAAUUCCACGUGUAGCGGUGAAAGUGCGUAGAGAUGUGGAGGAACACCGAUGGCGAAGGCAGCCUUCUGGGCCAACACUGACGCUCAUGCACGAAAGCGUGGGGAGCAAACAGGAUUAGAUACCCUGGUAGUCCACGCCCUAAACGAUGAUGACUAGUUGUUGGAGGAGUUAAAUCCUUUAGUAACGCAGCUAACGCGUGAAGUCAUCCGCCUGGGGAGUACGGUCGCAAGAUUA